UAGUACGGCGAGUGAGAGGGAAGAGCCCAAGAUUGAAAGCUGGCGUCUUCGGCGUCCGCAUUGUAAUCUCAAGAAGUGUUUUCCGCUUCGGACCAUGCCUAAGUCCCUUGGAAAAGGGCAUCAUAGAGGGUGAUAAUCCCGUACAUGGUAUGGAGCGCCCGUAGCUUUGUGAUACGCUUUCUAAGAGUCGAGUUGUUUGGGAAUGCAGCUCAAAAUGGGUGGUAAAUGCCAUCUAAGGCUAAAUAUUGGGGAGAGGCCGAUAGCGAACAAGUACAGUGAUGGAAAGAUGAAAAGAACUUUGAAAAGAGAGUUAAACAGUACGUGAAAUUGCCAAAAGGGAAGGGUAGGAGGUCAGAGAUGCGUCUUGGGAUUCAGCCUUGCUUUUGCCUGGUGUUUUUCCCAAGCUGCAGGCCAACGUCGGUUUUGGGCACUGGAGAAGGGUAGGAGGAACGUGGCACCUCUCGGGGUGUGUUAUAGCCUCCUACUGGAUACAGCGACCGAGACCGAGGAACGCAGCGUACUCGUAAGAGCGGGCCUUUUGGCACCUUUACGCUUAGGGCGUUGGCAUAAUGGCCCUCUACCACCCGUCUU
rnacentral:rRNA from 1 species